CUGCCUGCUUCCUUCUUUCUUGCAAUUUUUUUUUUUUGUCAACAUUUAAAUGAUUUACAGUAUUUAAAAUAAUAGUCAUAAAAUUAGACUUUACAAACUGUAAUUAUUUUCAUUCAUGAAUCUACUUAUGAUUUUCGAGCCCUGUACAGUAUGAAGAGUUAUUUUGAGCUUGAUUUAACGAGUCCACAAUUUGAAGUGGUUUAAUGCCGAUUUCCCGUAAUAGCUCUGGCACCCAUCCCUAACAGCCUCAGCAACAGAAGUGAGGGGGCGGUAUCUAUGUUUAGCCUUCAGUGUGUGAAGUAUCCGAGAGCCUGUUUCGUUAUAUUGACAGGUAAGAAACAUCAUUGAUGAAGACAAUCCUGCCAGCAACAUAAAAUGCUCGCAAUAUUAUUGAUAUUUCUCCACUACUCUGUUCUAACAAGCAUGCUAUGUACAUCAGCUGACUUUUGUUUUCAUCACAUGACCAGAGAAGUAUUCAUAAAUCUUCAGCCAAUCAGGGGAUGGGUUAUGUUCACUGACCCAGUUGUUGCCAGGCAUUGUUGCUAUUAAUAGCCAGAUAGAGUUCCUGGCUUGUAUGUCAUGUGAUCAGAGUUAUUUCAGGUCAUUCAGGGUUGAAGGUGAUUAUGCACUGCAAAAUGAGGCCACCUACAGGUGAUCUGCUAAUGUCAGGCAGGUAAAUACACUAAGAUAUGUAUUUACUUGUAAUCUCUUAAAUAGCCGAUUACACAACAGAAAUGGUCCGUUUUGUUUAUUCAGAUCUACGUCUUGUCUAUUGAUAAAAGGCUACAGAACAGUGCAAGUUUUGACUUGCUGUUUCACAGAGCUCAUUCAUAAAAAUUGGAUUGAAUGGUAGAGGAAUUAGGUUCAAAGUGCGCUUUCAUAUUUUCACGGGUUCUAACAAGUACAAAUGACACAAUCAUUUCCACAGCACACUUCCUUAUCUAUGAGAAUGGUGCUUCCACAAUUCCAUAUAAGGAAGAUGUCGGAAACAAGGAAAAAUUAACUUUGAGAAAAGCAACAUCAAUGAAUUUUGUGUUAUUUCAAUGGCAUGCUGAACACUCUAUAGAUUAUAUUGAUCAAUAGAUUUUACUUUGCUUCAAAAUAGGCCUAUCUGCUGAUAACAUAUGUCAUCUUUGAGUUUCUUUGAUGAGGGCCUCCACUUCAUGUACAUGAUGCAACCUUUUUUUCCUAUCAAAAAUCACGGGAAAACUUUUUAUUUAUUUAACUUUAUAUAAAAAAAAAAUUAAUGUAAAGUUUCUUUUUAUUCAGGUUUUCCCGAUAGUAUAUUUACGUGCAUGUACUGUACAUAUUAUUUUUUAAAAAAUUAAAAUGUGUAGAUUUAAGAGACAAAAAAAAAAAAUUUGAUCUCUUUUUUUUAAAUUACAAUCAUUUAUGUUGUAAAAGUUCAGGAAUUUGAUAUUUGGAUCAUAUAUUG